rnacentral:rRNA from 1 species
UACGGGGGGGGCAAGCGUUGUUCGGAAUUACUGGGCGUAAAGGGCGCGUAGGCGGCCUACUAAGUCGGACGUGAAAUCCCUCGGCUCAACCGGGGAACUGCGUCCGAUACUGGUGGGCUCGAAUCCGGGAGAGGGAUGUGGAAUUCCAGGUGUAGCGGUGAAAUGCGUAGAUAUCUGGAGGAACACCGGUGGCGAAGGCGGCAUCCUGGACCGGUAUUGACGCUGAUGCGCGAAAGCCAGGGGAGCAAACGGG